CAGAGAGAGAGAGAGAGAGAGAGAGAGAGAGAGAGGGGGUUCAGAUAGUGACCGCAGUAUUGUCUCAGUCAGUCCUGAGAGGAGGAAGAGAAGAGUGAGGAUCUCCUACUGAAAUCUGGUGCUUUAGUACCUUAAACCAGGAGUUCCUGAGACCGUGGACGUCAGGGGGAUGGAAGGCAGCAGUUAUCCCAAGAUAGUGCCUCCUGGCCUGGGUAGGACGUCGGCCACCUCUUGGCCUCUGCUCUCAGACCAACCGGAGAAGCUGCACAGCCAGACGGACUCUAUCCUCACUGCAGCCCGGCUGGCCCGCAGAGGAUGGACACAGGAGGGGACAAAGACAGGGUGGCAAUGUUCCUAUUUCGACUUCUCAGCACGGCAACCCUCCGUCUCCAGCUCAGAUGGAAAUCAGGGUCCAAAACGUGCCGAGAUCUGCCUGAAGGACCCCGGGAGCAGGCAGGUUCCGGUCGUGGACAGCAGGAAGACGGCUGAGGACAGAGAGACGGGCUCUAGUGAAGCAAAACAAACUAAAGGUGCAUCCUCAGCAGUAGGACAGAAACGUCUCUGUAGUCAGGCAGGCUUUCGUGUCUGGGCGUCUCGCUGUCGCACAUCUUGCAGACAGCCCCGAAGGUUUAAGGGCCCGAUACUACCGGUCAUUGCUGAGGUAUAGGCUAGCUGCCAAUUGUUCCAGAAAAGACAAGGUGCAUGUAAAACACUUGGUUUAUGCUUCUUCUUGGUCAUGAUGAGUACAAUAAUCUAUGUAGACAAUAACACAAAACUUGAUGUUAAAAAAUGUUAAAAUCAAUGCAUUCUCAUGAACAGGUUCGUAUCAUAUCUUACAAAAACUUAUGCACAACAAUACGUAUGAUAUGCCACGAAAUUCACGUGACUAACUUUUGGCUGACGGGUCACAUGAUGGUUAACUUUGGCAGACAAAGAUGACCAUCAUGCGGCAAAGACAAGUUAAGUUUAGACAACAAAACAACUAGUUAAGAUUAGAAAAAAAGAUUGUGGUUUGGGUUCAAACACUGGUGCCCUUCAGCCCAAAUGUUUUCUCAAAAGCCACAAAUCUUUUAGGCUGACUUCACUGUCUUUAAGAGGCUGUAGUGGGCUCCGUUUUAAAGCUGGACUGAAGCUAGAUAUUGGUAUCAUAUGAAACUAAAUAACGCUCCAAAGUUAUAGGCUACAUUUCAGCGAGGAAAAAGCUAGCAUGAUCGUUUUUAAAGGGGGUCCAAUGACUUCUCACCUCCAGAUAUCUAAAUGAAAAGGUUUUAGGGGUAACCGCGAGUCUCCCCUUUACAGACAGGCUCACUUUAUGAUAACCACAUACUGUUUUUCCCUUGGCAACUAUCAUAAAUGGUUUACACAUAUUUAGGCAUUCUAUUAUCAAAUUGCUUUAAAAAGAAAUGGUCUAAAAUUGCUGCUGUAAAUGGGGGGAAAAUAAUCUCCCCGAAGGAGCAUAAGUAGUACAACAGGGACACGAACACGUGUUUCCUGAGGUGAAAGUCUUGUGUUUUACCUUUAACUUCUUCCGGGACACAAAAUUCCCUCCCCUCGCUUGAAAGCCCUGUGUUUUAGGAUCCAAACAUACCCCCUGACCUCCUCCCAGGUGGCCCACAGCGCUCUUAUACAGCAGCAGUCAAUGUGUUGCUGACAGAAAUAAAUACGUUGAAUACAUACGAAUUACACUGCUUUACUUUUCGUAGCUUUACGUACGAAUGGUUCAUGAGAACAGCGUGUUUAAAUAGAGGGAUUUGAUGACGUUAAUACUCUUGUUGUCAUGUGUGUAUUUUUUUUCCUUUCAUUAAAAUGCAAACUGUACAAGUGUCCCUGUGGGUUGGUGUUCUGUUCGUCUAAAAAGUUUAAACAAAAACACAUUAUAGGUGAUGUAGAAUCAAUACGAAAACUAAAUUUUAUUUGCUUUGUUGUCUGAUUACGCAGACAUGCACAAAAGACCUUAAAUUUAAAAAAGCUACCUUACUGUUGCAGUUUAGAGGAAAGUCUAUAUGGGUCAUUAACGAAUAAGGUUUUUAAAAGUGUAAAAAAAAAAAAA